CAGUAGCCACGGUAAUACGUAGGUGGCAAGCGUUGUCCGGAAUUAUUGGGCGUAAAGGGCUCGCAGGCGGUUUCUUAAGUCUGAUGUGAAAGCCCCCGGCUCAACCGGGGAGGGUCAUUGGAAACUGGGAAACUUGAGUGCAGAAGAGGAGAGUGGAAUUCCACGUGUAGCGGUGAAAUGCGUAGAGAUGUGGAGGAACACCAGUGGCGAAGGCGACUCUCUGGUCUGUAACUGACGCUGAGGAGCGAAAGCGUGGGGGGCGAACAGGAUUAGAUACCCCGGUAGUCCCUGUCUCUUAUAC
rnacentral:rRNA from 1 species